GGGGGAUAUUGCACAUGGGGGAAACCCUGAUGCAGCGACGCCGCGUGGGUGAAGGAGCACUUCGGUGCGUAAGCCCUAUCGGCAGGGGAAGAAAAGGGAAAACCCAGACGGUACCUGACUUAGAAGCCCCGGGCUAACUAC
rnacentral:rRNA from 1 species